GAGGCAAUAACAGGUCUGUGAUGCCCUUAGAUGUCCUGAGCCGCACGCGCGCUACACUGACACUUUCAGCAAGCAUUUGCUGGUCCGAAAGGAUCCUGGCUAAUCUUUUUAGGAAGUGUCGUGAUAGGGAUAGAUCUUUGUAAUUGUGGAUCUUGAACGAGGAAUUCCUAGUAAGCUCAAGUCAUCAGCUUGAGCUGAUUACGUCCCUGCAAAAUGUACACAUCGCCCGUCGCUUGCUCCGAUUGAGUAAUCUGGUGAGCCUUCUUGACUGAGUCAGCAAUGACUUGGAAAAUUAAGCAAACCAUAUUACUUAGAGGAUGAAGAAGUCGUAACAAAGUUUCCGUAGGUGAACCUGCGGA
rnacentral:rRNA from 1 species